GCACUCAGCCCACUCGCACCCGGGUGAAUAAACAGCCUUUGUUGCUCACACUUAGCCUGUUCAAGUUGUCUCUUCAAUUAGAUGCUCGCAUAACAUUUGGUGCCGAAAGCCCGGGAUAGGGGAACUCCUCCGGCAGACCUCUCCUCUAUCCUCCCGGUACCCACGUUCUCCCAUGCAAGAGACUUCCCUCGCCCUCAGGACCUCAGACCAGCUCCGCGAGCACUCCGGCCUCUGUCUAUGGAUAUGACCCUGCACUCCAUGGAUCAGCUGAUACGACCCAGACCAGUAAUCUGGCCCAACCAGUUCUGCCAUCACACCCAGGAACAGAAGACAUUAAGAAAACCUAACUUCAACCCCCUAUAAUUCCAUUUCCAACCUGACUAAUCAGUACUCCCCACUUCCCAAGCCCCUACCCGCCAAAUUAUCUUUAAAAACUCUGAUCCCUGAAUGCUCGUGGAGGCCUAUUUGAGUAAUAAUAAAACUCUGGUUUACCGCACAA
rnacentral:lncRNA from 1 species